rnacentral:rRNA from 1 species
UCAGCUCGUGUCGUGAGAUGUUGGUAAGUCCGCAACGAGCGCAACCCUCGACCUUAGUUGCCAGCAUUCAGUUGGGCACUCUAAGGUGACUGCCGGCUAAAAGUCGGAGGAAGGUGGGGAUGACGUCAAAUCAUCAUGCCCCUUAUGACCUGGGCUACACACGUGCUACAAUGGGCGGUACAAAGGGUCGCGAACCCGCGAGGGGGAGCCAAUCCCAAAAAGCCGCUCUCAGUUCGGAUUGCAGGCUGCAACUCGCCUGCAUGAAGCCGGAAUCGCUAGUAAUCGCGGAUCAGCAUGCCGCGGUGAAUACGUUCCCGGGCCUU